UUAAGUGAAUAAGGGCGCACGGUGGAUGCCUUGGCACUAGGAGCCGAUGAAGGACGGGACUAACACCGAUAUGCUUUGGGGAGCUGUAAGUAAGCUAUGAUCCAGAGAUUUCCGAAUGGGGGAACCCAAUAUCUUUUAUAGGAUAUUACUUUUCAGUGAAUACAUAGCUGAUUAGAGGUAGACGCAGAGAACUGAAACAUCUUAGUACCUGCAGGAAGAGAAAGAAAAUUCGAUUCCCUGAGUAGCGGCGAGCGAAACGGGAAGAGCCCAAACCAACAAGCUUGCUUGUUGGGGUUGUAGGACUCCGAUAUGGUAGUCUGUUAGUAUAGUUGAAGGAUUUGGAAAAUUCCGCUAAAGAGGGUGAAAGCCCCGUAGACGAAAUGCUGACAACACCUAGGAGGAUCCUGAGUACGGCGGAACACGAGAAAUUCCGUCGGAAUCCGCGGGGACCAUCCCGCAAGGCUAAAUACUCCCUAGUGACCGAUAGUGAACCAGUACCGUGAGGGAAAGGUGAAAAGCACCCCGGAAGGGGAGUGAAAUAGAUCCUGAAACCGUGUGCCUACAACAAGUCAAAGCUCGUUAAUGAGUGAUGGCGUGCCUUUUGUAGAAUGAACCGGCGAGUUACGAUUGCAUGCGAGGUUAAGUCGAAGAGACGGAGCCGCAGCGAAAGCGAGUCUGAAUAGGGCGAAUGAGUAUGUAGUCGUAGACCCGAAACCAUGUGAUCUACCCAUGUCCAGGUUGAAGGUGCGGUAAAACGCACUGGAGGACCGAACCCACGUACGUUGAAAAGUGCGGGGAUGAGGUGUGGGUAGCGGAGAAAUUCCAAACGAACUUGGAGAUAGCUGGUUCUCUCCGAAAUAGCUUUAGGGCUAGCCUCGGAAUUGAGAAUGAUGGAGGUAGAGCACUGUUUGGACUAGGGGCCCAUCUCGGGUUACCGAAUUCAGAUAAACUCCGAAUGCCAUUCAUUUAUAUCCGGGAGUCAGACUGCGAGUGAUAAGAUCCGUAGUCGAAAGGGAAACAGCCCAGACCACCAGCUAAGGUCCCAAAAUAUAUGUUAAGUGGAAAAGGAUGUGGGGUUGCACAGACAACUAGGAUGUUGGCUUAGAAGCAGCCACCAUUUAAAGAGUGCGUAAUAGCUCACUAGUCGAGUGACCCUGCGCCGAAAAUGUACCGGGGCUAAACAUAUUACCGAAGCUGUGGACUACACCAUUAGGUGUAGUGGUAGGAGAGCGUUCUAAGGGCGUUGAAGGUCGAUCGUGAGGACGGCUGGAGCGCUUAGAAGUGAGAAUGCCGGUAUGAGUAGCGAAAGACAGGUGAGAAUCCUGUCCACCGUAUGACUAAGGUUUCCUGGGGAAGGCUCGUCCGCCCAGGGUUAGUCGGGACCUAAGCCGAGGCCGAUAGGCGUAGGCGAUGGACAACAGGUUGAUAUUCCUGUACCAGUUGUUUUUGUUUGAGCAAUGGAGGGACGCAGUAGGCUAAGGAAUGCAUGCGAUUGGAAGUGCAUGUCCAAGCAAUGAGUCUUGAGUAGAGUUAAAUGCUUUACUCUCUAAGGACAAGUUGUGACGGGGAGCGAAAUAAUAGUAGCGAAGUUCCUGAUGUCACACUGCCAAGAAAAGCUUCUAGUGAGAAAACAACUGCCCGUACCGUAAACCGACACAGGUAGUCGAGGAGAGUAUCCUAAGGUGAGCGAGCGAACUCUCGUUAAGGAACUCGGCAAAAUGACCCCGUAACUUCGGGAGAAGGGGUGCUGACUUCGGUCAGCCGCAGUGAAUAGGCCCAAGCGACUGUUUAUCAAAAACACAGGUCUCUGCAAAAUCGUAAGAUGAAGUAUAGGGGCUGACGCCUGCCCGGUGCUGGAAGGUUAAGAGGAUGGGUUAGCUUCGGCGAAGCUCAGAAUUGAAGCCCCAGUAAACGGCGGCCGUAACUAUAACGGUCCUAAGGUAGCGAAAUUCCUUGUCGGGUAAGUUCCGACCCGCACGAAAGGCGUAACGAUUUGGGCACUGUCUCAACGAGAGACUCGGUGAAAUUUUAGUACCUGUGAAGAUGCAGGUUACCCGCGACAGGACGGAAAGACCCCAUGGAGCUUUACUGUAGUUUGAUAUUGAGUGUUUGUACCACAUGUACAGGAUAGGUAGGAGCCGAUGAGACCGGAACGCUAGUUUCGGAGGAGGCGCUGGUGGGAUACUACCCUUGUGUUAUGAACCCUCUAACCCGCACCACUAAUCGUGGUGGGAGACAGUGUCAGAUGGGCAGUUUGACUGGGGCGGUCGCCUCCUAAAAGGGAACGGAGGCGCCCAAAGGUUCCCUCAGAAUGGUUGGAAAUCAUUCGAAGAGUGUAAAGGCAGAAGGGAGCUUGACUGCGAGACCUACAAGUCGAGCAGGGACGAAAGUCGGGCUUAGUGAUCCGGUGGUUCCGCA
rnacentral:rRNA from 1 species